CCUACGGGAGGCAGCAGUGGGGGAUAUUGCACAAUGGGGGAAACCCUGACGCAGCGACGCCGCGUGGGUGAAGAAGUAUUUCGGUAUGUAAAGCCCUAUCAGCAGGGAAGAAAGAAGACGGUACCUGACUAAGAAGCCCCGGCUAACUACGUGCCAGCAGCCGCGGUAAUACGUAGGGGGCGAGCGUUAUCCGGAUUCACUGGGUGUAAAGGGAGCGUAGACGGCCGUGCAAGCCAGGAGUGAAAGCCCGGGGCCCAACCCCGGGACUGCUCUUGGAACUGUGCGGCUGGAGUGCGGGAGGGGCAGGCGGAAUUCCUGGUGUAGCGGUGAAAUGCGUAGAUAUCAGGAGGAACACCGGCGGCGAAGGCGGCCUGCUGGACCGCGACUGACGUUGAGGCUCGAAAGCGUGGGGAGCGAACAGGAUUAGAUACCCUUGUAGUC
rnacentral:rRNA from 1 species